rnacentral:misc_RNA from 1 species
AACCUAGCACACCUGCGGUGUGUACCUGCGGAGGGAUCAUUACCGAGUUUACAACUCCCAAACCCCUGUGAACAUACCUAUACGUUGCCUCGGCGGAUCAGCCCGCGCCCCGUAAAACGGGACGGCCCGCCCGAGGACCCCUAAACUCUGUUUUUAGUGGAACUUCUGAGUAAAACAAACAAAUAAAUCAAAACUUUUAACAAUGGAUCU